UACGUAGGGGGCUAGCGUUGUCCGGAAUCAUUGGGCGUAAAGCGCGUGUAGGCGGUCCGGUAAGUCCGCUGUGAAAGUCGGGGGCUCAACCCUCGGAUGCCGGUGGAUACUGUCGGGCUUGAGUACGGAAGAGGCGGAGUGGAAUUCCGAGUGUAGAGGUGAAAUGCGUAGAUAUGUGGAGGAACACCGAUGGCGAAGGCAGCCCCCUGGGUUAACACUGACGCUCAUGCACGAAAGCGUGGGGAGCAAACAGG
rnacentral:rRNA from 1 species